ACGUGAUAGAUCCAUGGCAGUAGGUUGCUUCGAUGAUUGCUAGAACAUCUACCGAAAGAACUUGAUGACAAGAUGAAAAAUGAAAAGCCAAAUGGGUUUAGGUUGCAGGGUCAGCAUACUGAGUUGUAUUACACAUGUAAUACAACGACCUAACAGGAACCAGUACUACAAAAACAAGAAGCGUUGAAUGAACUUCAUCAAAGGUCACAAGAAUGUCAAAUGUUCCGAGUAUAUUGAUAGAUGUCCCAAGUCUUACGUUACCAAGUGAUGCCAUUGAUCCUUAUCAGAAAAAUAAGAUACUUACUUCCCUGUAGUCGAGUAAGUAAACUCUUUAGCUUCAAACAAAUAAAUGUGCAUCCCAAGAAAAUUACAAUUAAAAGUAUAUGAACCAUUUUUUUGGGG